rnacentral:rRNA from 1 species
AGGGAAUCUUCCACAAUGGACGGAAGUCUGAUGGAGCAACGCCGCGUGAGUGAUGAAGGUUUUCGGAUCGUAAAACUCUGUUGUAAGGGAAGAACCAGUACGUCAGGCAAUGGACGUACCUUGACGGUACCUUAUUAGAAAGCCACGGCUAACUACGUGCCAGCAGCCGCGGUAAUACGUAGGUGGCAAGCGUUGUCCGGAAUUAUUGGGCGUAAAGCGCGCGCAGGUGGUUUCUUAAGUCUGAUGUGAAAGCCCACGGCUUAACCGUGGAGGGUCAUUGGAAACUGGAUAUCUAGAGUGCAGGAGAGGAGAAUGGAAUUCCUAGUGUAGCGGUGAAAUGCGUAGAGAUUAGGAAGAACACCAGUGGCGAAGGCGAUUCUCUGGACUGUAACUGACGCUGAGGCACGAAAGCGUGGGUAGCAAACA